ACCGCUUGAUCCGCUCUUGUUC
rnacentral:siRNA from 1 species